GACGAACGCUGGCGGCGUGCUUAACACAUGCAAGUCGAGCGGUAAGGCCCUUUCGGGGGUACACGAGCGGCGAACGGGUGAGUAACACGUGGGUGACCUGCCCUCAGCUCUGGGAUAAGCCUGGGAAACUGGGUCUAAUACUGGAUAUGACUCCACGGUGCAUGUCGUGGGGUGGAAAGCCUUGUGCGGCUGAGGAUGGGCCCGCGGCCUAUCAGCUUGUUGGUGGGGUGAUGGCCUACCAAGGCGACGACGGGUAGCCGGCCUGAGAGGGCGACCGGCCACACUGGGACUGAGACACGGCCCAGACUCCUACGGGAGGCAGCAGUGGGGAAUCUUGCGCAAUGGGCGAAAGCCUGACGCAGCGACGCCGCGUGAGGGAUGACGGCCUCGGUGUAACUACUUCUA
rnacentral:rRNA from 1 species